rnacentral:rRNA from 1 species
AGUGAACGCUGGCGGUAGGCCUAACACAUGCAAGUCGAACGGCAGCACAGUAAGAGCUUGCUCUUACGGGUGGCGAGUGGCGGACGGGUGAGGAAUACAUCGGAAUCUACUUUUUCGUGGGGGAUAACGUAGGGAAACUUACGCUAAUACCGCAUACGACCUACGGGUGAAAGCAGGGGAUCUUCGGACCUUGCGCGAUUGAAUGAGCCGAUGUCGGAUUAGCUAGUUGGCGGGGUAAAGGCCCACCAAGGCGACGAUCCGUAGCUGGUCUGAGAGGAUGAUCAGCCACACUGGAACUGAGACACGGCCCAGACUCCUACGGGAGGCAGCAGUGGGGAAUAUUGGACAAUGGGCGCAAGCCUGAUCCAGCCAUACCGCGUGGGUGAAGAAGGCCUUCGGGUUGUAAAGCCCUUUGUUGGGAAAGAAAAGCAGCAGGUUAAUACCCCGCUGUUCUGACGGUACCCAAAGAAUAAGCACCGGCUAACUUCGUG